UACGGAGGGUGCAAGCGUUAUCCGGAUUUACUGGGUUUAAAGGGUGCGUAGGCGGGGUGGUAAGUCAGUGGUGAAAUCUCCGAGCUUAACUUGGAAACUGCCAUUGAUACUAUCAUUCUUGAAUAUUGUGGAGGUCAGCGGAAUAUGUCAUGUAGCGGUGAAAUGCUUAGAUAUGACAUAGAACACCAAUUGCGAAGGCAGCUGGCUACACAUAUAUUGACACUGAGGCACGAAAGCGUGGGGAUCAAACAGG
rnacentral:rRNA from 1 species